GGUAUUCUGACUGUGCUAAGGUAGCAUAAUCAUUUGCUUCUUAAUUGGUAGCUGGAAUGAAAGGUUAAACUGGCUUAGCUAGUUUGUAUUUCUAGAUAGAACAUUUAAGUCAAGGUAAAAAUUCUUUGAUACCCUAGGGGACGAUAAGACCCUAGAAGCUUGAUAAUGAGUUAAGGCCUUAGUUUUACCGAUAACUUUAGUUUACUGGGGCGGUAACAGUGUUUGAACCACUUAGACCUUAGCUGAUCCCCCGUAUAGGGAUAGAUUGGUGUAGUUACUCUAGGGAUAACAGUGCUAUAUUUUUGGAGAGACCCUAUCGAUAAAUAUUUUUGCAACCUCGAUGUUGAAUUAAGAUGUCUGCGUGAAGCAGAAGGUACGUAAGAAGGUUUGUUCAACCUUUAAACUCUUACAUGAUCUGAGUUCAAACCGG
rnacentral:rRNA from 1 species